rnacentral:rRNA from 1 species
AGUGAACGCUGGCGGCGUGCCUAACACAUGCAAGUCGAACGAUGAAGUCCUUCGGGAUGGAUUAGUGGCGCACGGGUGGGUAUACCAUAGAUAAUGUACCUCUUAGUUCGGGAUAGCCACUGGAAACGGUGAUUAAUACCGGAUACUCCUUCUCAUUAUAAGAUGAGUCGGGAAAGUUUUUUCGCUAAGAGAUCAGUCUAUGUCCUAUCAGCUAGUUGGUGAGGUAAUGGCUCACCAAGGCUAUGAUGGGUAUCUGGUUUGAGAGGAUGAUCAGACACACUGGAACUGAGACACGGUCCAGACUCCUACGGGAGGCAGCAGUGAGGAAUACUGCACAAUGGAGGAAACUCUGAUGCAGCAACGCCGCGUGGAGGAUGACGCAUUUCGGUGUGUAAACUCCUUUUAAGAGGGAAGAUAAUGACGGUACCUCUUGAAUAAGCACCGGCUAACUCCGUGCCAGCCGCCGCCGUAAUAC